rnacentral:tRNA from 1 species
UGGGGUGUGGCUUAGUGGUAAAGCACUUGCCUAGUAAAUGUGAGGCACUGGGUUCGAUCCUCAGCACCCCAU